UACCGACUCAGUGUGCUUCUAGCUUGUGGAGAGGAAGGGUGCGGCCGUCGUUUUGUGUGACAAGCCUAUAAAAGCUCUGUUAGAAUGGAGUGAUUCUGAGAAAAUAAUCGGUUUACCAGGUACUUUUAGAAGACCCUUCAUCAUGGAUAAGAUACGCGUGGCCGUGAGGGUGCGGCCCUUUAACAGGCGAGAGAAGGAGCUGGGCAGCAAGAGCAUCGUUACCAUGAGCGGCAUGCAAACCAUCCUGCACCACCCCACAGCCCUUGACAAGCCUGACAGGUACGUGUGGGAGGCUGAGGACUGACCGGGGAUGGCUGGGCACAGGGCGAGGACAGGUGAGUGGGUGAGAGAAAGGAGACGAUGGAGAGCAAACUGGAGAGAGAAUAAGGUAAGUUAAAUUAAGGGACAGGGAAGACGAACAAGAGAGAGAGAGAACAAGGUAAGAGGCAUUAAGAGAGAAGGGAGGUGAAAUAGAGAGAGAGAAGGUAAAGAAAAGGAAAGGGAAGGACAGGUAGAGAGUGAAAGGAAGGGAGAGGAAAGUGGAGAGAGACUAAAGUAAGAGGAAUCAAGGGACAGGGAAGAUGAAGUAGAGGAGAACAAUUGAAGAUAAAGGAAGGGAGAGGAAAAGGAAAAUAAAGAAAGAAAUAAAGGACCAGGGGAAACGAACUAUAUAGGAAGAGGCCAAGUGAAGAUAAAGGAAGGAGCAGGAGAAAUGAAAUAGAGAAAGAAGGAAAUGAAAGGGAUAGGGAAUACCAAGUAGAAAGACAACCAGAGAGAGAGAGAGAGAGAGAGAGAGAGAGAGAGAGAGAGAGAGAGAGAGAGAGAGAGAGAGAGAGAGAGAGAGAGAGAGAGAGAGAGAGAGAGAGAACCAGAAACUAGAAAGGAAGAGACAGGGAAGAAGCAGAGAGAAAGAAGAAGAAAGGGAGGAAGGAGGAAGAAACAAGGAAAAGGAAAGGAACAAGAAACAAGAAAAAGGAAAGAACAAGAAGCAAGGAAAAGGACGGAAGGGAACAAAAUGUAAGGAAAAGAAACGAAGGGAACAAGGAGGAAGGAAAAGGAAAGGAACAAGAAGGAAGGAAAAGGAAGGAAGAAAAGGGAAAGAAGGAAACAAGAAGGAAGUAAAAGGAAGGAGGAGAACAAAAACCAAGGAAAAUGAAGGGAGUGAACACGAAACAAAGAAAAUAGAGAAGAAGAAGGAAAAAAAAAAAGAAAGGAACAAGAAGAUCAUUAAGGCUCAUUUUCUCUUCCUCCUCGGCAGAUUCCGGAAAACAAAUAGGCCGCCCCUCCGCGUGAUGGGAACCCGCUGCCACCCGCCGCCCGUCAUAACCCGGCCGCGUGUUCCCAUUGCAAUAGACACCCUUGCCACACCGAGGCGCGGAGGUGAAAGAGGCGCUAAGCUUCCCGUGACGCGCUGCCGCUCCCGGAUAAAUGUUACCGGCAAGUUUUAUCGGCUAAAGGUCAUUCCGGCAAGUCAGGAGCGUGGCGGUGACGUGGGGAUGGUGAUGGUGAUGGUGAUGGUUCCCGCGGUCUGUACUGACGCAUUGGCCUGCUGAAUGGUAUGGCUGGGUGGCGAGCGAUGACGCAAUGACGCAACCUCACUGCCGUUGUCAUGUUGGGGACUGGACUAAGCGACAUUGUGGACGUGAAUGUCUGUCAGGCGGUAGCUCACCAGUCAGUAUUUCAGGUUUUGACUGUAUUGAUACUUUCCCGUGACGCCAGUGCAUUUGUGACUUUUACGGUGAAGUUUGUUCGGUUGAGUUAAGGUUAUGGUAAUAUUUAAAUCUAGUUGUGUCGUGGUGUGCUUGUUUAGCUUAUGUAGGCAAAGGGCGCAAAAAAAAAUAAAUAAAUAAAUAAAAAUAAAUAAAUAAAUGUUGCGGUUAAAAAAUAUAACGAUAAAAAGAGUAAAUACAUUAAUACAACAGUAAGAUUUCUAAAUCGAAGACUAGUUUAGUUGCGGUGCCGCCCCUAUACUCCUCUCUUGAAACAGUUUAGGUCACAAGAAGAGAGGACACCAGAAACAGGCGGACAGAAAGUUCCAGAUCUUACCAGCGAGAGGGAUGAAGAGAGUGACGGUGCUGGUUAACUCAUGCAUUGGUGAAACAGCGUCUUUGAAAUAAGGUGUCAGAAUCUCAGCAAAUGAACCAGAAUACCUUUUAUAACAUCUCAACUGAAGCAUCAUAUCACGAGAAUCAGCACCUCAUCUCUUUCAUCCCUCAGCACCGCCACGCCCUUUGUAAGUCAAACAAGAUGACCCCAAAAGACUCGAAGGAUUCCUGGAAAGAAGACAAAAGAGGGCCUGGAAAACAUCACAGGUCAAAGAUACUGAAAUACGCACCGUGGCUCUGCUCCAUUUCACUUGUCUUACACGAAACAUUGAGCUUGAAAAUUGUAUCUUGUCUAGACGCAUUGCUGGUGGAUGUUUUGCAUUGCACGCUUUGUGGAAGAGGAAUGUUGCUUAACGAGGAGAAACUGAGCUGGCGAAGGUGCGAUGGAACAGAGGAACAAAGGAAUAAAGGCAAGGAGUCAUUACUGAUGCGUGGUGCGGGGAAGUGAAGCAGGUUUUUUCUUAGCUGUGUUUGAGUGAAUGCUUGAAGUAGUGAGGGGUAAUUGGAUGCGUGGGAGGUUAGCACAUGCAGACGUAUAGAUAGUUGGAUGGAUAAGUGAAUAGAUUGGUAGGUGAAUAGAUGGAUGUAUAGAUGGAUAGGUAUGUAGUUGGUUGAAUAGAUAAAUAGAUAAGUAGAUAGAUAGAUGGACAGACAGAGAUAGGUAUGUAUUUGUAGAUAGAUCGACAUAUAAUUUAUUAACACACACACACACACACACACACACACACACACACACACACACACACACACACACACACACACACACACACACACACACACACACACACACACACACACACACACACACACGCGCCGUAAGAUCAGCUACCUACAGGCUGUACAUGCUGCGCAGACUCAGGUCGCUGGGGACGCCGACAGAUGAGUUAAGGGGGGUGUACCUUACCUUCAUCCUCCCCAAACUCAUGUAUGCCUCCCCAGCGUGGUCCUCCUCCCUCACACACACUCAACAGCUACAGCUAGAGAGUGUGCAGAAAAGGGCGUGCAGGGUCAUCCUUGGCCCUGCAUACACCACCUACGAAGAAGCCCUGACCACCCUGAGUCUGUCCAGAAUAUCCACCAGGCACCGAGAGGCUCAGGAGAAGUUUGGAAGGGGACUACUGCAUCAUCCACGUCUCAGAAACAUGCUGCCGCCUGACGCGCCUCGCCCGGUCCGUGCCACCAGACACCACAACAAAAUAACGCCCCUGAAGGCGCCGCGCACGGACCGGUACAGACUCAGUGCGAUUCCCACCAUGGUGCGAGCCAUCAAUCAUUAGUAUUUCCCUCCUAGAUUAGACUUACCUUUAGGAUUAAUGUUAAGUUUUUCCCCACCCCCUAUGUACAUUUUCAGUUUGUUAACUGCCUAAAUAAUAAACCGUUUAUUAUUAUUAUUAUUAUUAUUAUUAACACACACACACACACACACACACACACACACACACACACACACACACACACACACACACACACACACACACACACACACACACACACACACACAGGAGAGAGAGAGAGAGAGAGAGAGAGAGAGAGAGAGAGAGAGAGAGAGAGAGAGAGAGAGAGAGAGAGAGAGAGAGAGAGAGAGAGAGAGAACUUCAGUCAAAUCUGCAUAAAAAAAGAAAAAUAACGAACUUGUGAAGCGUGUGAUGAAAGCGCUAAUUGGAAACAAAAAAAAGACGGAAAAGGGACAGAAUAAAAAAAAAAAAAAAAAAAAAGUAAAAGAAAAAAAGAAAAACGUGGAAUAUAAAUGUCCAUAGGGGAGACUGAAGAAGUAGGUUAGUUUCACCCGUCCAGAUCAGCUUGUUAUCAAUCAGCCGGUCAUGCGCGAGCUAUUUCUACUAUCAUUGACCUAAUAAUGCUUGACUGAACGGUGAAUGGGGGUGGAGGUGGAGGGAGGGGGUGGGGAUAGAAAAAGGUGUUAUCAUGUUAUUCAGUCUCGCGUCGACCAAUCAAACAAACCCAUUGCCGUGUGUUGCCCUUCAUAAAAUUUCCAUUCGGGCUCGCAAAAAAAAAAAAAAAAAAAAAAGUAACAAAAAAUAAUGAACAAAGCGCAGCGCAUGUUAGGUUCUGUUUCCCUGUAAUUUCCGUGCACUGGCAGAGCGAUGUGUAGUUUAAAGUGCGCGUGUUUAAAGUUGUGUCGUGUUGGUUAAUAUUGAGGCAUUUGUUCCUGCGUGACAUUGGCAAGUGCGGAUGUUCUUAUAUUAAUGGUGGUGGUGGUGGUGGUGGUGGUGGUGACGAUAGUUGUGGUGGUGUUGAUAAUGCGGAAAUAUUAUUAGUGUUUAUAGUAUUAGUAGUACUAGUGGUGGUGGUGGUAGUAGUAGUAGUAGUAGUAGUAACUUGUUGUACUUUAGUGGUAGUAGUAGUAAUAGUAAUAGUAAUAAUAGUUGUUAUUUUAGUUGUUUUGUUGGAGUUUCAUUGUUGUUGUUGUUGUUAUUUUAUUUGUAUUUCUCGUUUCAUCAUCACCAUCACCAUCAUCAGCAUCAUAGAACUGGUAGUGGCAUUGGAAACCGUUUGUAAAAAGCAACAAAAGUGGUGAUAAUAUAAUUAAUAGAAUCAUAGUAGUAGAAAUAGUAGUCAUUGCUGCGUAAGUUGAAACAGUAGUAGUAGUAGUAGUAGUAGUAGUAGUAGUAGUAGUAGCAGCAGCAGCAAUACCAGUAAAACAAACAACAAUAACUUUUCAUUAGCCCCAUAAAGCCUCUGGUGCUGCAGUAAACACCACGAGAGCACCGCGUAAAAAGAUGUAGACUCGCGACAUUACUCUUAAAGUUUUGUGUUUCUGCCUUGAGUGGCUCCGUGGCUGGCUGAGUGGCUGAAAGGCGGAGUGACUGGCUGGCUGAGUGGCUGUGAGGCGGAGUGACUGGCUGGCUGAGUGGCUGAGAGGCGGAGUGACUGGCU